UGCCAAAUUUUUUCAAGAAGUUAUAAUCUCAUUAGUGUCAUCAUAUGGACACAGACAUGAAAUAUAUGCAUCUUCCACCGGGGUAACAAAAUGGAACAUCCAGGUGGAAAGUUUUCACAAUAUUCGCAAUAUUCAUGGUUGUAUUUUAUCUCAGUUCUUGAAAAUGUUGCUUGUAAGAAGACUAUAUCAGCCUGCUUGCAACUCCAUCAACUACAAUGCACAACCAGAAGGAAAUAAAAGAUCAAAGAGAGACAGGGAAACCAGUCAAAUCUCAUUACAUCUUUCCAUCUGCCUGUAAUCUCCUAUGUGGGCAGGAGAUACUGCUCUGUAACAUUAAUUUCUUUCGAACCUAUGUAUCUUAAAGUCUUAAACAAAAGCAAGUAAGAAGAAAGAUGAAACAAGUUGGACCAGUAAAAGAAAAUUGCCUGGCUUUCCCAUGUACGCCAUUGACUGAAGAAUUCCUCACCGAAAACCCAUAUCUUGAAGGUAAAUUUGAAUAAAGAUCGACAGAUCACCGAAAGGGUCCAUGGAAGCCGUUGAGCAACUGUUGAAGCCAAAAUGACACCUCAAGGGGAAGUCUCUUGCAAGAUAUGGCGUCCACCUCCACCUUCAUAUUGUUUUGGAGGACAAUGCAAGGUGAAAAGAGAGAGAGGGGAAGAGGAGGAAGGAAGAUAAGGGAGG
rnacentral:lncRNA from 1 species